UGCCAGCCGCCGCGGUAAUACGGAGGGUGCGAACGUUAAUCGGAAUUACUGGGCGUAAAGCGCGCGUAGGCGGCUUGUUAAGUCAGAUGUGAAAGCCCCGGGCUCAACCUGGGAAUUGCAUUUGAAACUGGCAGGCUAGAGUGCAGUAGAGGAAGGUGGAAUUCAGGGUGUAGCGGUGAAAUGCGUAGAUAUCCUGAGGAACACCGGUGGCGAAGGCGGCCUUCUGGACUGACACUGACGCUGAGGUGCGAAAGCGUGGGGAGCAAACAGGAUUAGAUA
rnacentral:rRNA from 1 species